GAAGUGAUGAUGCUGUGGUAGCAUGUUUGACCUCGAGUUUACGGAUGGCCCGGGUUCGAUUCCAGGUCGUCACC